ensembl:lncRNA
UGAGGGACAGUAAAAUGGCUUUUUCCUUCAUAGCCCAGCAAGUUACUACAGACCUGAAAAUGGUUUACAUAUCUGCUGGUUUUCCCAUUCAGUCUUUUCCUACAAAAUUACAUAAUUUUAUAUUUCCUUCUAAAAAUGUUUAAGCUGAGAUUGGUUUUUAAAAGUGAAUUGGGGUCAGAUUCCUCCAAUAAGUACCUAAACUCAAACUCAGCCUUAAAUAGUUAUUCUCUGAUGUAGAUCAGUCUUGAUAAAAAAAAACUUGAUAAAAAAAACCUGUUCUCGUAGGUUGAACAGAAAAGGGAAACAAUCUAUUUCACUGCACUUUAUUAAUGCUUGUAGUGUAAAAAUGAAAGUUAACUUCAAGCAAAGUAAUUUUAAUAAGUUCAGUUAAUGUUUGACCCAUAAACCAUGUACAGGCUUGAAUCUUUUAUACUGGUAAAAGCAUAACUUGGUAAAUUACAUCACCACCUGAGUCUAAUAGCAUGCUAAAAUUGAACUUUUUCUAAUGCAGUUCUGGAUAAUGACAUUGCAUUCCCACGUUUCUCUUAAAAGUAAGAGCCUUAUUCAAAAGUUCUUUAAUGACAUUAAUGUUUAUUGGGAGUUCCCAUUGUGGCUCAACAAGUUAAGAACCUGACUAGUAUCCGUCACGCCUUGGGUUAGGGAUCUGGUGUUGGUGGCAGCUGCAGGGCAGGCCGGCAGCUGCAGCUCCAGUUCAACCCCUAGCCUGGGAAUUUCCAUAUGUUGCAAAUAUGGCCCUAAAAAAAGAAAAAAAUCAUUAAUCUAGAAGAGUGAGAUGUUUACCUUUUAUGCUUCAUUAUAUUUUUUUCUUACUAUUUAUUAUCUACUUUAUUAUUUGGGAAGCACUUGUAAUAAUCACCAGAAAAUUGCUGAGGUGGACCCGUUAGGUAUAGGACACUAUCCAGAGGACAGUGUCAAAUGUACAGGCCUGAGCUGUACUGCCUUACAGGUUGCAAGAUUUUUUAAACUCCUUUUUUGCCUUCUAAGAAGGCCCACUUUGAACUUCUUAUCUGUAGUUAAUCGUGUUACAGGAUGUUUAAGCGUAUGUCUGCCUUAAACUUUGGAGAAAAUUAAUGCAACUGAUAGUUUAUAAAAUAACAGGAAAGCAAAUAGGUUAGCUGAACUACGUGACCCUUAAAAAUAGAACAGGAGAUAGAGAAGAAAGCAUCUAAGAGCUGAGGGCAUUGUGUUUCCCCAUUUAAUUCUCAUCAUAACCCUAUGAGAGGUAUUAUUGUCCUAGUUUUAUAGAUGAGGAAAUUGAGGACUAGAUGGGUUCAUUUCUUAUUAUGUGUCAUAAAUUGUUUUAAUGAUAGGGAUGUGAAGAUGGACACAUGUUUUGGAGCUGGGAUUUAAGCCUAGGUCUUGCUAGAGUUAAAGCUGUACCAAGCUGGUUGUCAGUGUGGGUCUUCCUUUUCAGUUGGCGUCUUUAGCUCUGUUCUUUUCUCACGCAUCUACUGCAAGUUUCUUCCAAGAGAUCUCACCGUUCCUCCCACUGACUACAUUUUUUGUUGUGGUUGUCUUUUUAGGGCUGCACCUGCAGCAUACGGAGGUUCCCAGGCUAGGGGUCGAAUUGGAGCUACAGCUGCCAGCCUGUGUCACAGCCACAGCAACGCCAGAUUUGAGCUGUGUCUGUGGCCUACACCACAGCUCCUGGCAACACCGGAUCCUUAACCCUCUGAGCAAGGCCAGGAAUGGAACCCAAAACCUCAUGGUUCCUAGUCGAAUUUGUUUCUGCUGCACCACAACAGGAACUCCACUGACUGCAUUUUUAAAAUUUUUCUCCACCCAGCCCCCAAGGAAUUAGCUGCUAAGGGAUCUAAGGUAUUACCUCCCCAGAGAUCUUUGGAAUUUAGUUUAAGAUUCUGAAAAGUCACAUCCACUAAAUCUGGUACUUACUGAGUAUUACUUCUAUAUCAAGCACUUUUAUAACAUUGUAUAGUAUAUUCCACAACAACCCUUCAGGCAAAAUACUCUCCCCAUUGUACAGAUGGGAAAAUGAAGACCUGGAAAGUUAACUAACUGGGAGUCAUUCAGAAAAUAUCUAUGGAAUUCCUGUUCUUAGUGAGACACUGUGCUGGAAAAGAGCUGUUUCUCUUGUGGUCCUAAAAGUUCUCAGUCUAGCCAGGAGAUACUCAUACAUAAGACUGUAACUGGCUGUGCUUUUUUUUUUUUUUUUUUUUUUUCCUUUGAGGGUUCAUUGGGAGCACUUAGGACUACCUGAGAAUGUUGGUGAAGGCUUCACAUGGGAGGCCUUGUUUGAGCUGAAAUAUGGGGAAAUUUUGAGGUGUGGGGUAUUGGAAUGCUUGGUUCAAAUUCCAGGCAGCAUUACUAUCUAACAUGACAGUAUGAGGGAGUAAGUUUUUUUUGAGAAGCAACCAGUAAUUUGUUACAACCGGAGUAUGGGCAAGAAUAGCUGGAGAUUAGGCUGGAUAAUAGUAGUGAUACCAAUAGUAAUUAAUAUUUAUCAAUUGUACCAUGUGCAAAGCAUUGUACAUGGUCUCAUUUAAUUCUGAUGAAUAGAUGCUGUUCUUAUCCUAGCUCUACAGAUAGUGAAACUGAGUUACCCCAGAUUGGUUAAAUGAUUUGCCUAGGAUCACAGCCGGUUAGUGACACACAGUUAGGAAAUGAUUUGCCCAGGGUAAUAUAGAUAGCUACAGACAUACCCAGCAUAUGAACCAAGUAGUCUGGCUCCAGAGACUGUCUUCUCUUUUUUUUUUUUUUUUUUUUUUUUUUUUUUUUUUUUGUCUUUUUGUUAUUUCUUGGGCCACUCUCGUGGCAUAUGGAGGUUCCCAGGCUAGGGGUCCAAUCAGAGCUGUAGCCGCCAGUCUACGUCAGAGCCACAGCAACUCGGGACCCCAGCCGAGUCUGCAACCUACACCACAGCUCAGGCAACUCCAGAUCGUCAACCCCCUGAGCAAGGCCAGGGUUCGAACCCGCAACCUCAUGGUUCCUAGUUGGAUUCAUUAACCACUGUGCCACGACGGGAGCUCCCAGAGACUGUCUCUUAUUCACUUGCUAUGAUGCAGGAUCAGACCAUGAAAGGACUUCUGAAGGAGCUGAAAUUUUAUUAUGCGGAUCAGUGGUUUUUUUUUUUUUUAAAAAAAAACCCAAUCCACAGAAAUACAUUUUUUAUUAUGACUGAGCAUGUGCAUGUGUGUAUAAAACUACGAAAAGUCUCAUGAACAAUAUUUUUACUUUGUAUGAGGCAUGCAUAGUUUCUCUUCUGUUUUCUUAAGGAAAUACUGGUUGGGACCCACUUAAAUUGAUUCUACAAUUUAAGCCACAGUUUGGAAAAAUACUGCUUGUCAGUGUGUGAGUGUUGGAAGAAUUUCAAGUAGGGGAAUUGCAUGGUUAGGUUUGUGCUUUUAGAUAGGUCACACUGGCAGCAGUGUGAAGGCUUCAUUGGAGAGAAUGGGACCAGGAAGACAGACACCAGUGUAGAACAUCUUAAUGGACCAGGCAAAAGAUGCCUGAACUGGGACAGUACAUUGAGGAUAGAGAAAAGGGACUAGAGAGAAGGAAGAUUAGAAAGUAGAGUUGAUAGAACUGGGCAAUUGAAUGUGGACUAUCACUCAGCUAGUACCAGGUAGAAAGGCAGUUUAAGUCAAAACUAUAUUAUUCAGGCACUGAAAUUUUACUUCUUGACCUUUUUUAUGUGUUUUUUUUUUGUAGUCAUGUUAAAUAUACUUUGUUGUUUUAUCUACACCUCUACUUUUGUAUUUAAAAAAAAAAAAAAACUGGUUUAGGAGUUCUCAUUGCGGGUUCAGCGGGUUAAGGACCUGACAUAUUGUUGGUGAGGAUGUGGGUUUGAUCCCUGGCUUUGUGCAGUGGGUUAAAGAUCUGGCAUUGCUGCAAGCUAUGGUAUAGGUGGCUUGGAUCCGGUGUUGCCAUGGCUGUGGCAUAGGCCAGUGGCUGUAGCUCUGAUUUGACCCCUGGUCUGGAAACUUCCAUAUGUUGUGGUGUGGCCCUAAAAAAAAAAAGAAGAAACCUUGUUUUAUUAUUAUUAUUAUUAUUUGCUUUUUAGGGCCACAUCUGUGGCAUGUGGAGUUUCCCAGGCUAGAGGCUGAAUUAGAGCUGCAGCUGUCAGCCAACACCAUAGCCACAGAAGGCAGGAUCUGAGCCACAUCUGUGACCUACAUCACAGCUCAUGGCAACUCUGGAUCCUUAACCCACUGAGUGAGGCCAGGGAUUGAACUCACCUCCUCAUGGGUACUAGUCGGGUUCGAUACUGCUGAGCCAUGAUGGAAACUCCUAAUUAUUUUUAAACAAUUAAAACAUCUACAUAUCAAAUCAGAUACCCACCUUACCCUCUUAUUUCUGACUUCCCACCCCUAUUCCAUCUACUAUUAUCUGGAAGAUUUGCAUAGCAGUAUGAAAAAUUCACACUUCUGUUGUGGCUCAGUGGCUAAUGAACCCAGUUAGGAUCCAUGAGAACGCAGGUUCGAUCCUUGGCCUUACUCAGUGGAUUAGGGUUCUGGCGUUGCCACUGAGCUAUGGUUUAGGUUGCAGACUUGGCUUGGAUCCUGAGUUGCUGUGGCUGUGGUGUAGGCCAGUGGCUAUAGCUCCGAUUCGGCCCCUAGCUUGGAAACUUCCAUAUGCCAUGGGUAUGGCGCUAAAAAGGCAAAAAAAAAAAAAAAAAUUCAAAUAGCAUGAUGAGCACUCAGCAAAUCUCUUUUGAAAUAAUAUAUUCCCUGUAUUAUACUGUCCCAAAGCAGAAACUCUUAAUGUUAUAGUCAUUUAUUAGAAGAAUACUUUUGAAUAAUUUUCUUGGACUUUGUUCUCUUUAACUUUCCAUUUUUGUAAUAUUUGAUUCCCAUUAGGGAAUAUUAAGCAUUGUGUGUAUGAUACUCU